UACAGAGGUCUCAAGCGUUGUUCGGAUUCAUUGGGCGUAAAGGGUGUGUAGGUGGCGCCGUAAGUCGGGUGUGAAAUUUCGGAGCUUAACUCCGAAACUGCAUUCGAUACUGCGGAGCUUGAGUACUUAAGAGGAUCGCGGAAUUCCCGGUGUAGAGGUGAAAUUCGUAGAUAUCGGGAGGAACACCAGUGGCGAAGGCGGCGAUCUGGGAAGAUACCGACGCUGAGGUGCGAAAGCGUGGGGAGCAAACAGG
rnacentral:rRNA from 1 species